rnacentral:rRNA from 1 species
UACGGGGGGAGCAAGCGUUGUUCGGAUUUACUGGGCGUAAAGGGCGCGUAGGCGGCCACCGCAAGUCGACUGUGAAAUCUCCGGGCUUAACCCGGAAAGGUCAGCCGAUACUGCGGGGCUAGAGUACGGAAGAGGCGAGUGGAAUUCCUGGUGUAGCGGUGGAAUGCGCAGAUAUCAGGAGGAACACCAAUAGCGAAGGCAGCUCGCUGGGACGUUACUGACACUGAGGCGCGAAAGCGUGGGGAGCAAACAGG